rnacentral:rRNA from 1 species
GACGAACGCUGGCGGCGUGCCUAAUACAUGCAAGUAGGACGCAGUUGCGAACGGGUGAGUAACGCGUAGGUAACUACCUAUUAGAGGGGGAUAACUAUUGGAAACGAUAGCUAAUACCGCAUACUAGUAGAUGGACCUGCGUUGUAUUAGCUAGUAGGUAGGGUAAUGGCCUACCUAGGCAACGAUACAUAGCCGACCUGGGGAGGGGAGUGGCCACACUGGGACUGGGGAACGGGCCAGACUCCUAAGGGAGGCAGCAGUAGGGAAACUUCGGCAAAGGGGGGAACCCUGACCGAGCAACGCCGCGUGAGUGAAGAAGGGUUUCGGGUCGUAAAGCUCUGUUGUUAAGGAAGCGGUACUUAACCAGAAAGGGACGGCUAACUACGUGCCAGCAGCCGCGGUAAUUC